UGAACGGCUGGCGGCGUGCCUAACACAUGCAAGUCGAGCGGAGAUACUGGGAGAUUCUUCGGAUGAUCCCUUAUCUUAGCGGCGGAUGGGUGAGUAACACGUGGGUAACCUGCCCUGCACAGGGGGAUAACAGCUGGAAACGGCUGUUAAUACCGCAUAUGCACACGCUGCCGCAUGGCAGAGGGUGGAAAGAUUUAUCGGUGCAGGAUGGGCCCGCGUCGGAUUAACUGGUUGGCAGGGUAACGGCCUACCAAGGUGAUGAUCCGUAGCCGACCUGAGAGGGUGACCGGCCACAUUGGGACUGAGACACGGCCCAAACUCCUACGGGAGGCAGCAGUGGGGGAUAUUGCACAAUGGGCGCAAGCCCUGAUGCAGCGACGCCGCGUGAAGGAAGAAGUAUUUCGGUAUGUAAACUUCUAUCAGCGGGGAAGAAGAUGACGGUACCCGACUAAGAAGCCCCGGCUAACUACGUGCCAGCCGCCGC
rnacentral:rRNA from 1 species